CACCCUCUGUAGUUCUAUGGUCUGGGGGACCCUGUCUUCCUUCUGUGGUUCUACGUCUUUACACACACACUGUAAUAAAGUUUUAUGGAAUGUACAUCGCGUCUAACGCAAUACAAUACAACUUUCAGCAACGGAUCUCUUGGCUCUCGCAUCGAUGAAGAACGCAGCGAAAUGCGAUAAGUAAUGUGAAUUGCAGAAUUCAGUGAAUCAUCGAAUCUUUGAACGCACCUUGCGCCCCUUGGCUAUUCCGAGGGGCAUGCCUGUUUGAGUAUCAUGAACACCUCAACUCUCAUGGUUUGCCAUGAUGAGUUGGACUCUGGGGGUUUUGCUGGCCUGUGGUCGGCUCCUCUCAAAUUAAUCAGCCUCCCAGUGUUUGGUGGCAUCACGGGUGUGAUAAAUAUCUACGCUCGCUGUUGUCUGCCAGGUAACCUUUGGUCACAAAGGUUUGCUGGAGCUCACAGAUGUCUCUCCUCAGCGAGGACAGCUUUUUUAACGUUCGAUCUCAAAUCAGGUAGGACUACCCGCUGAACUUAAGCAUAUCAAUAAGCGGAGGAAAAGAAACUAACAAGGAUUCCCCUAGUAACUGCGAGUGAAGCGGGAAAAGCUCAAAUUUAAAAUCUGGCGUGCCUCUGGUCGUCCGAG
rnacentral:sRNA from 1 species